CCCACUGGCUAGACCAGGUAAGACCCCUUGUAGAUGACAAGGUAGAUCGGUCCGAGGUGUAAGCGUGGCAACACGUUCAGCUGACGGAUACGAAUCGGUCGAGGACUUCUCCU
rnacentral:rRNA from 1 species